rnacentral:rRNA from 1 species
AACGAACGCUGGCGGCAUGCCUAACACAUGCAAGUCGAACGAAACCUUCGGGUCUAGUGGCGCACGGGUGCGUAACGCGAGGGAACCUGCCCUUAGGUUCGGAAUAACUCCCAGAAAGGGGUGCUAAUACCGGAUAAUGUCUUCGGACCAAAGAUUUAUCGACUUUGGAUGGGCCCGCGUUGGAUUAGGUAGUUGGUAGGGUAAAAGCCCACCAAGGCGACGAUCCAUAGCUGGUCUGAGAGGAUGAUCAGCCACACUGGGACUGAGACACGGCCCAGACUCCUACGGGAGGCAGCAGUGGGGAAUAUUGGACAAUGGGCGAAAGCCUGAUCCAGCAAUGACGCGUGAGUGAUGAAGGCAUUAGGGUUGUAAAGCUCUUUUACCCGGGAUGAUAAUGACAGUACCGGGAGAAUAAGCUCCGGCUAACUCCGUG